GGGACAAAACAAAAAGAGAGAAAUCUGCAAGGCAGAAGGAUAUUAAUUCACUUGGGUUCAUAAUCGGGAGCGAAACCUAAAAGUAAAAUUCAUCGCACACCAGAGACACAUCCAUAACUUCAGGCACUCAGUCACGCAUUCGGAGGGAGCUGAAUUUGUGUCCUGUCAACAUGGCUAAAGGAGGAACAGCAGAGCCCGAUCUAAGCGCUAAUGGGGGUUCUGCGUGAGACUGCAAUAAACAAGCAAGUAAGUCAAACUCGAGGUUCAAAACAACAACUGCAUUUGCCUGCCGUGUGCAUUUGAUAUGUUUAUAUUCUGGAGUUUACACUUUGUUUCUGUAUGAAGGGCACACAAUAGGGACCUCACAAUGGGGUUCCUUAUACACUAGGGGGUCUAAUGAAGUGCCAGAGAAUCUAUCACUACACUACAGCUGAAAUUGAGUUUUGACUUAAAUGGAAACACCAGUUUCUAAGUAGUUAUCAAGUAAUGCUGCAUUGCGAAUUAAUGACUUUGUAAGCAGUGUACAAUGUGCUAUGUAAGGGUUAACACUAGAAAGAUGCUAGAUAGCUUUUUUUUUUUUUUUUUUUUAAC